AAACUGUUCAGUCGUUUGGCUCUGCAUAGGGUUACGAAUAUGAGUGAAAUCAAGAUGUUUUGGUGUUGGAUUAUAGUAUGCAAUCAGGAAUUGCUUCAUGAGGGAACUGAAUGCCAACAGAACAUUGUAGUGUAAGAAACCUGUGCAGCCUGUUGAUGAUCCCUAUGGCACAAAUGCUGAAAUCGUUUUUGGGAAGUUCUCUGUCCCGCUAGUGGAUUUAUAUCCUGAAAGCAUUAAUCCAGAAGAAACAAAAUUUGGAAUUCCUGAAAGUGGAGAACAGAAUUCUGUUUCUGUGGUCGGAUAGUGCAAUACGAUGCACACCAUACAACAUUGGAAGAUCUUCCGUUUGAAGAAAAGAAGAUUAAUGAAAACAUGUUAUGGCACUUACAGCGCAAUGAAGCUGUAAAUUUCUAGUUCCUUUAGUUAAAUUUUGUUCGUUUGUUUUAAUUUAAUUUUAGAAAUGGUGCUUUUCCUUUAUUGUAAAAUUAUAGAACUUUUUUAUUAUGUUACAGCUUGAUAUUCUUUAUAUUUAAUUUCUGUCAGUUAUAUUUGUGAAAAUUCACUUUGAAAUCAUUGAAACAUGUCAACUGAGUCGGAGGUACUGUAUAAUGGAGCAGGGAAUGUGAAGAAGAGAGACUUGAAAUUCAGUGCAGCUUUUAUGCGUUGGAGUGGCAGGAAGCAGAAAAUGAUGAUCACCUUAUGGGAAGAGGGAAAAUAGUAAAUGAUCUCUGGACCCUGACAACCUGCCAAAUUGCACUCAUAAGACAUCAUAAAACCAUAAGACAUCGUAGCAGAAUUAGGCCAUUCAGCCCAUCGAGCCUGCUCCGCCAUUCCAUCAUGGCUCCCUCUCAAUGCCAUUCCCCUGCCUUCUACCCAUAACCUUGAAUACCCUGACUAAUCAAAAACUUAUUGACCUCCGCUUUAAAUAUAAUCAAUACAUGGUCUCCACAGGCAUCUUGUGGCAAAGAAUUAAGAAUUCACACAAUUCAAAUUCCUCCCAAGAAUGGAGGAAAUGCCAAGUCUGAGACACCAAAGGAGGGUAUAAAGAGAAUCUUGGCAGGAACAGAAUGGGUGAUAUCAUUGAUUCCCUUAUAGCAAAUGCUCUGUAAUCCAUCUAACUGGAACAUCACUGUUCAAAUGUGGUGAUAUCUGUUAUGUGUAUCUAUUGAUUUGUAUAUGAUUGUAGUAUUCAUGAUCCUUCAAUGAGCUGACAUCCAUUUCAAUGGAGAAUAAUAUAUCAAUAGAAGAUAUUUUAACUCAUUCUACCCCACACAUCCCAAUUUCACCUCAUUGCUAUUUCCCAGCAGUGGCCCCACUCUCCUGCCAAGCAUGCUAUAUUGGCACCAAAAUAUUGUCAAUGCUUGUGUUGGUUACAAAAACAAAUGAAGCAAUUCACUGCAAGUGUCAAUGUGAAUGUGAUAAACAGAAUGAAUCUACCUGAACCUUGCUUCCCUUAUAUUAAAGCUCCCACCAGUGUCUGUUUUGAAUGUACUUAGUGACAGAGACUACACAGCCCUCUUAACAAGAGAAUUCUUAGGAUUCACUACCCUCUUGGUGAAGAAAUGUUCUUUGUUUCAGUCUAGAUAGGCUGCCUCUUGAUUUUUAGUCGGUGACACCAGUUUCGGACACACAGCCAGAGAAAACAUUGCUCGAUCUCCUUGCCAAGCCCAGUAGGAAUUUGGGGUAUUUCAGUUCUUAAGCCUCUUGCUUCCAGAGUGUAUAGCCCAAACUGCGCAAUCCUUCAUUGUAAAACAGUCCCACCAUUUCCAACCCGGACUCAACUCUGUGAACUGUCAUCGCACUUCUCCAAGAAAAUCCUUGCUCAAGUUGGGAGGGCAAACCUAAAUAUAAUAUUCCUGUUCACUUUCACCAAAACCUUUGUAAAUAUACUACAAUCACUUUAAUUUUUAUCAAGCUGUUUUAAGUUAAUAAAAUAAUCUUAAAUAUUAAUACUACUACCUACACUAUUGUACCAACUUCUGUGUGAAUAUCUGUAUUUAAAAAAAA